rnacentral:ribozyme from 1 species
GACCCACUAGUUCCUAUCCCUACCUUCUCGGGGUACUAGCCGGGGCACGAGUAACCUUAGGGAAGAUCGGGUAACCAACUCCGGUGGGAACUCUGGUCGUAUACUGACAGGGAAGG